rnacentral:rRNA from 1 species
UGUAAGCGUAUACCAAAGUUGUUGCAGUUAAAACGCUCGUAGUCGGAAUUUGGCAGUUCCGGAUGUGUGCACGUCGUGUGCGCACUUCGCGGGGAUUGCUUUUGUGGUCUUGCGUAGGAUGAGGCACUUUUAUUAGUGAACGUCCUCACGCAACCACUUUUUACUGUGAGAAAAUCAGAGUGCUCAAAGCAGGCAUUUGCCGUGAAUGUAUUAGCAUGGAAUAAUAGAAUAGGACUUGGUUCUAUUUUGUUGGUUUGUUGGGACUGAGUAAUGAUUAAGAGGGACAGUUGGGCGCAUUUGUAUUUCGGUGCUAGAGGUGAAAUUCUUAGAUUACCGAAAGACAAACUGCUGCGAAAGCGUCUGCCAAGGAUGUUUUCAUUGA